UGGGUGUGCCUACCCCUGCUUCCCGGGGCCUCGAAAUGAAGCACCGCAUAGAACCUUCCUGGAAUGGCGAUGUGUUUGUCUCCACGCUAACAUUCGGUUCUGUCUUUGCCUGGGAUACAGUCAAGAUCCUUUGGGAAGGAGCCGGAGAGGAUCCUUCUGAAGGAAAAUGGGACAGAAAAUGUUUACAGUCUCCUGUGUUCCCUUCCUCCCACAGCCAAGGGAACCCCGCUGCCCUAGUGUUUUAUCUGCUGCUUCUGAGGCUUCGCUGGGGAACAUAAACAGAGAGAAGAGGUGUCCCGGACAAGAUGGGAUGCAGUGCCUUGAAUAUCCUGCACGGACAAGCAGAUGGUUCGGAUGGGCGGCUCUAAAUAUUCUUAUGAAGUUUUUCCUUUGAGUGGAGGUUACCAUGGCAAAACUGCGCACUGUAGUCUGCUCCAGAACAACAGGACAGUGGGAUAGACUGAUGGUGACCCUUCUGCUCUCUGAAGACCCCCAGUGCCUCUCUUCUUUGGGCCCAGACACCACUCCAGGACAUGAACAUCAGAUGCGUCAAAUACCAUAGGACAAGAGCAUAUCUGCAGC